rnacentral:tRNA from 1 species
UUGGAUAGAGUACUGCCCUCCGAAGGCAGGGGUCGCACGUUCGAAUCGUGUCAGGCGCG